AAUCCAUGGACACCAGUGAAGAUCCUUGAAGAAAAAAGGUUCAGAGCUCUGUCUAGUGGGUCUAGAUGACCCACCAGUGCCUAGGAUAGCACAAGGGGUAAACAUGUUUAACAUGCCUCCCACUGAACUGUUUUUUUUUUCAUUUCCACAUGUAUAAAACAUACUAAAGGUUCUGUUUGCAAACAUGUUUAUUUCUGCCACAGAGGAAAGUUUGUGUUUUGGUUCUGAGUUUUCAGUCUUAAAGAAAAACAACCAGGUUCCCAAAAACUUGACCUUUAACCUUUAACAAAAAACCACUACAAACACACAAACGUAGCUUUUAAUGUCCUUUAUUAUUCAAACAUUUGUCAGACGUCUACAUCGAUGGAGGAACUAUUGUCCAAUAAGAUCAUACAGGUGAAGAAGUGGGCGGAGUCUCUAAUUGCUGACCACCUGUUCGCUCUUUAAAGGAGGAGAGACCUCACCGUUGCCAUGGUGGGGGUUUUCAUGGCACAGACGAGUAACAUCAAGAAAGUCCUCCCCGUGGAUUUAUGGCUCAUUGCCCACCGUGGGAAUUGAACUCAGACUCUCCUGUGGGACAGAAAAGGGAUGUUAUUCCACCAGGAGAACAUCUAAAGCACCAAAGUUUAGUGAUCAAUUCCUACUUAUGUUCUCUGGACUUCCAGCCGCUGCUCUUAGGAGCAGCAGGGAUAGGCUCCAGCCACCCCGUGACCCCGAAAGGGACAAACGUGGUUUGGAAGAAGAAUGAAUGAAGGUUCAAGAUGGAUCUUUGAAGAACACUUCAGGUUUUCAGUUGGUUCAGACGACUGCUCUGUAAUUCUUAAUGUACUUAUGUAAUCAUAAUAAUAAACCCCCCGGUGUUCUUUAGGCAUCAUGCGUGUCGUUCUGCUGCAGCAGUGCAGACCCACGGUUGCAGAACCCUUUAGAUCCGCCUUCAUGCUUCCACUAGAUCUAGAAAAAAGGGUUGAACAAAAUAAUAAACAUGGAUGUCAAGAGAGCUUCAAGAGCAGCAAAAAGGAAAUUCACAUCAACCGGUAUUUAGUCAAACCUGGAGUCUGUGCGGUUCCUCACUCUUCCUCAACGACCUGGAACACGUCCCCCCCCCCCCCCCCUCCUGAUGGGAAUACUAAUGGAUCCAUCUGAGCUUUUCCAGACGCUUCCAUUGGGUCCGUCAUUCAUUCACUCUUCAUUCAUACCUGCUGAUGGUGGGGGCGUGGCUGCCAGGUCACGCCUAUGGUCCCUCUGACCGUCACCGGGAUCAUCCAUGCUGGUAGCGCUAAGGGCCCAGGGGCCCCCACUACAACAUAUACGGCUCUUUUUAGGGAGCCGAGUCUUUUGGAUCAGUUCAUCCAGAAAGUGCAAUAACAGUUAUACAUCCAUAGUUCCAUGUAUGUAUAUGACUUUAUUUUGUCAGAGCAGCUGGAGAGCUUUCUGUUGUAACAAUGACAAUAAAGGAUUUCUGAUUCAAAA